UCCAAUUACGAUUGCUUAACAUAGCGCUAAAUUUGUGACACAAAAGGCAUAAGCAUUCUAGUUAGUGAGAUUGUAAGUCUCCCAUUUUUCAUGGUAUUGUGUGGAAACUUGGCUUUUUUUCCUUCCUUUGGAAGAUGUCUUGGUUCAAGGAUCCAUGCUUGUGUUAAGUGGAUUGAGUGUUCUCCAAAGAAUGUCUUAAACUGAAAAGCAAAAGCAAAACAAU
rnacentral:lncRNA from 1 species